rnacentral:rRNA from 1 species
AGCUAAUAGAUACCCGGGUAGUCCUGGCCCUAAACGAUGUCCACUAGAUCAUGGGACCUUGACGGGUUUCAUGGUCGAAAGCAAAAAAGUGCUAAGUGGACCGCCUGGGAAGUACGGUCGCAAGGCUAAAACUCAAAGGAAUUGACGGGGCGUCACACAAGCGGUGGAGCAUGUGGUUUAAUUACGAAGCAACGCGCAGAACCUUACCUGGGCGUUGACAUGCCAGGAUUAUCCUUAUGAAAGUAGGUACGAGCCGCAAGGCCGGAACUGGUACAGGUGCUGCAUGGCUGUCGUCAGCUCGUGUCGUGAGAUGUCGGGUUAA